rnacentral:rRNA from 1 species
AAUGAACGCUGGCGGCAUGCCUUACACAUGCAAGUCGAACGGCAGCAUGACCUAGCUUGCUAGGUUGAUGGCGAGUGGCGAACGGGUGAGUAAUGCAUCGGAACGUGCCUUUUAGUGGGGGAUAACGUAGCGAAAGUUACGCUAAUACCGCAUAUUCUCUGAGGAGGAAAGCAGGGGACCUUCGGGCCUUGCGCUAGAAGAGCGGCCGAUGUCGGAUUAGCUAGUUGGUGAUGUAAAGGCUCACCAAGGCAACGAUCCGUAGCGGGUCUGAGAGGAUGAUCCGCCACACUGGGACUGAGACACGGCCCAGACUCCUACGGGAGGCAGCAGUGGGGAAUUUUGGACAAUGGGCGCAAGCCUGAUCCAGCCAUGCCGCGUGAGUGAAGAAGGCCUUCGGGUUGUAAAGCUCUUUCGGCUGGGAAGAAAUCGCACCCUCUAAUACAGGGUGUGGAUGACGGUACCAGCAUAAGAAGCACCGGCUAACUACGUG